AAAAGUACUUUGAAAAGAGAGUGCAAGAGAACGUGAAACCGGUGUAAUGGAAGCGAAUGGAGCCGACGUAUCUAGUGCGUAUUCAGCCUUCUGGGCGGGUGAUUGAGGUUUGUGCAUUUCCGCAAGGUGUGCCUGGCUUCAUUGUCGCACGUUCGGUUGGUGCAUUUGCGUACGGAGUGCGCCGGGUUGUGUGGUGUUGUCGGACGAGGCGCGUCUAGAGGACCCGGGCUUCGGCGCUGGGAACCCUGGGCGUGUGGAGUUCGGUUGGCGCUGCGCAGCUUUGUGGAGACGUGGGUUUUUCGCGUGCCGCGGUGUCGACACGCUCGGUUCGGGUGGUACACAUGUGUGCAGCCCUUAUGGUGUGGGUCGGUGUUGUGGUGUGCUCUACGUUCUUCCCGGUGUUCAGUCGGUGACCCAUUCGACCCGUCUUGAAACACGGACCAAGGAGUUUAUGGUAUGCGCAAGUCAUUGGGUUUGUCGAAGCCUAAAGGCGUAAUGAAAGUGAGACAUUACUUGUCUGAACGUGACUGGGUGCGGCAUUCGUGCGGCCCAAGCAACGUUGCCCCGUUUCGAGGACUUGUCCUGAUGCGGAGGUUGAGCGUAUGCUAUGAGACCCGAAAGAUGGUGAACUAUGCCUGAACAGGACGAAGCCAGAGGAAACUCUGGUGGAAGUCCGAAGCGGUUCUGACGUGCAAAUCGAUCGUCUGAUUUUGGUAUAGGGGCGCAAGACUAAUCGAACCAUCUGGUAGCUGGUUUCCUCCGAAGUUUCCCUCAGGAUAGCUGGUGCACAUUCAAACAGAUAUACUCGGUAAAGCGAACGAUUAGAGUUCUUGGGAUGUAUUAUUCUCAGACUAUUCUCAAACUCUAAAUGGUUAUGAUGUUGGUGUUGCUUAAUUGAACACUGACUUUGAUUGUUGUGCUCCAAGUGGGCCAUUUUUGGUAAGCAGAACUGGCGAUGUGGGAUGAACCAAACGCGGAGUUACGGUGCCUAACUAUUCGCUCAUGAGACCCCAUGAAAGGUGUUGGUUGAUAUAGACAGCAGGACGGUGGCCAUGGAAGUCGGAAUCCGCUAAGGAGUGUGUAACAACUCACCUGCCGAAUCAACUAGCCCUGAAAAUGGAUGGCGCUCGAGCGAAUGACCUAUACUCUGCCGUCGUUGAGAACCGAGCAAUCUCUCGACGAGUAGGAGGUACGUUGUAAUGGCGUUGAAGUUGUUGGGC
rnacentral:rRNA from 1 species